GAUGAACGCUGGCGGCGUGCCUAAUACAUGCAAGUCGAGCGAACGGACGAGAAGCUUGCUUCUCUGAUGUUAGCGGCGGACGGGUGAGUAGCACGUGGAUAACCUACCUAUAAGACUGGGAUAACUUCGGGAAACCGGAGCUAAUACCGGAUAAUAUUUUGAACCGCAUGGUUCAAAAGUGAAAGACGGUCUUGCUGUCACUUAUAGAUGGAUCCGCGCUGCAUUAGCUAGUUGGUAAGGUAACGGCUUACCAAGGCGACGAUGCAUAGCCGACCUGAGAGGGUGAUCGGCCACACUGGAACUGAGACACGGUCCAGGCUCCUACGGGAGGCAGCAGUAGGGAAUCUUCCGCAAUGGGCGAAAGCCUGACGGAGCAACGCCGCGUGAGUGAUGAAGGUCUUCGGAUCGUAAAACUCUGUUAUUAGGGAAGAACAUAUGUGUAAGUAACUGUGCACAUCUUGACGGUACCUAAUCAGAAAGCCACGGCUAACUACGUG
rnacentral:rRNA from 1 species